GAGUAUGCAGGCAAUUACGUCUUUUGCCAGCAUUCAGCACAUGAAAAAUUUUAGAUGCCAACUUUAAAAUAAGCAAAGAAGGACAUUGUUUUUCAAAAUGAUUUUAGUGGGUACUAGAAGAGUUUUGAGAAGCAGUGUUUCAUUCACCUUCAUAUUUAACAUUUGAGUUUGAUGACGUUUGCAGGGAGCUGGUCUACACAGUAGUGGGAGUGUAUCCAGAUAUGAGAACAGGAUGGGAACCAAGGAGCUGGCAUGAACUGGGAGAAAAUUAGAGUAAAAUGGGAGCAAAUCCUGGGAACCUAUCUAGGAGAAAUAACAGGUUACUCUCCCGUGUGUAACGAGGCCUAUUUACAUCAUCACUUCAGAGAAGUAGGAAAGGAAAGAAAAGAGAAUCUCAAGUCCAAAUCUUUAAAGAAUUUACAAGCAAGGAAUGGGUUGGGGCAGAGAGAGGACUGUUUCAUUUUACAAUAAAACACGUUUUGGAUUUUGACAUCCAGAUUCUCAGAGCCACAAACGCCACAUUUUUACAUUUCCACCACCAAAGUGCAGGUGUAUGGCUCCAUCUGGAGCACUUGGAACUGAAAAUCAGUCUAUGGAGAUGAGACUGAACAGAAGAAAGCAGCAAGGCAGACUUAAUUAGGGUUGGAAAUGGGACUCAGGAAAAUCCCCCAAAUGAAUGCACUGAUGUAACAGAACCCUGGAGAAGCAAAUUUGAGUGAGGUUGUGGGGAGGGGGUGUCCAGGGCUGGUGCUCAGGCAUGCUGGGGAAUCGUUUAGUUUUAAGAACAAAAUAUGAAAUACAAAAAAUGGAGUCAUGGUAAAGAUUGGGAGUGAAAAGCCUCCGAGCCUAAAUUACAAGGGAUUUGAUGGCUGUGUUCGGCACUGAGAAAUAAAUAAGCUAGACGCAGAGACAUGGGCAAUAGGGGUGAAAAAGAAAAUACAUUACCAGUUCAAGGAAAAGAGAAGGGCGUGCAAGAUACGUUAUAAAUCAAAAUUGUCAGUGCUACAAGAGGAGGACUAGAAAAAAUGAAGUAUGAGGUGGGGAGAAAAUGAUCCAGGAAGUGGAGAUUGAACGAAAAAGGGUGGCAGGAGAUUGGAAACAUAAUAAACAGCUUCCGGAACAAGCAAGCCGCAAGAGGUCAGCAGAAACUGGUGUCCCCCUCAGGACGGUGGAUAAAAGAAUGGGGUCUUGUGACAUCACUGUCUCCUGAACCAUCAACUCCUUCUACUUCAAUCACUGCAGAGGCUGAACAAUUGCACGUGGAAAUGGGACCAUGAGAUUUCAUCUCCUCGAGUCCUUGGUUCCUCCUGGCUUCUAAAGUUGUCAACGGGGCUGGAUGACAAAGAGAGGUCUGUGCCAUGAGUUCUCGAGACUGGGAAGUCCAAAUCAAGGCAUCUGCCAAUUCAGUGUUGCAUGAGGGCUUGCUCUGCUCCAGAGAUGGUGCCUGUGGCUGGGUCCUUACAUGGAGGAAGGGGCUGAAAAGACUACAGAGCUCCCAUCAAGUUCCUUUCUAAAAGAACUAAUCCCACUCAUAAGAGCAGAGUGCUCCUGACUUGAUCACUUCCCAAAAGGCCCCACCUCUUAAUACUAUCAUAUCACAUUGGCUCUUAGGAGCCAAUGUAUGAUUUUGGGAGCAUACAUGCAUUCAGACUAUAGCAUAAUCACCAAUGGCUAAUGAUUUAACCAAUCAUGCCUGCAUCAUAAAGUCUCCAUAAAAAGCCCAAAAGGAUGGCAUAUUACUUCCUUCUCCUGCUGUUAAUAAAGACACACCCCAGAUUGGGUAAUUUAUAAAGGGAAGAGGUUUAAUUGACUCAUAGUUCCACAGGGCUGGAGAAGCCUCAUGAAACUUACAAUCAUGGUGGAAAGGGAAGCAAACACGUCCUUCUUCACAUGAUGGCAGGAAGAAGUGCAGAGCAAAGGAGGGGAAAGCCCCUUAUAAAACCAUCAGAUGUCGUGAGAACUCACUCACUAUCACAAGAACAGGAUGGGGAAAACUGCCCGCAUGAUUCACUUAUCUCCACCUUGUCCCUCCCACAACACAUGGGAUUAUCGGAACUACAAUUCAAGAUGAGAUUUGUGUGGGGAAACAGCCAAACCAUAUCAGAUGGGGCUCAGGGAGCAUCCAGAUAUCUGAACACACGGAGCUUCCUCGAGGAUGAUGGACCCAGAAAGGGCAUGGAAGCUCUGCAUGUACCCUUACAUCCCUUGCCCUGUGAAUCCCUUCUAUCUGCCCAUUCAUCUGUAUCCUUUGUAAUAUCCUUCCUAAUAAAUGGGUAAAGUGUUUCAC
rnacentral:lncRNA from 10 species